AUAUCAGUCAUGCAUAGCAUAUCAAUAAGCGGAGGAAAAGAAACUAACAAGGAUUCCCUUAGUAACGGCGAGUGAAGCGGGAAGAGCUCAAAUUUGAAAUCUUCAAGGUUUUACCUUGACGAAUUGUAGUUUAAAGAAGUGUUUUCUGUUGAAGUUUUGGUAAAAGUUCUUUGGAAUAGGACAUCAUAGAGGGUGAGAAUCCCGUAUUUGACCAUUACUUUCAGCUUUGUGAUACACUUUCAAAGAGUCGGAUUGUUUGGGAAUGCAGUCCAAAAUGAGUGGUAAAUUUCAUCUAAAGCUAAAUAUUGGCGAGAGACCGAUAGCGAACAAGUACCGUGAGGGAAAGAUGAAAAGAACUUUGAAAAGAGAGUUAAACAGUACGUGAAAUUGUCAAAAGGGAAGCGUUUGACACCAGUGUUGUUUUCUCGAAAAUCAAUUAAAAAGAGUUGGAUUUUGUGUUGUAUUGACUUUAUCAGCUUUCUUCACUCUUUUCCAGCUUUUUUUAAUGCACUUUUCGUUUAACAAGUCAACAUCAGUUUCUUUUGUUGUAAAAAGGUCAUUGGAAGGUGGCUUUCUCUUCGGAGAAAGUGUUUAUAGCCUUUGACUCAUGCAAUCGGAGAGACUGAGGUCUGCAGCGUAGAUCCUUCGGGGUUAGAUACAUUUGUGCUAAGUUAUAGCUUUUCAUAGACAACUUGUUGACUAUGUUUAGUCUUGUAGCUUACUCGCUUAUGCUAUUUUACCUACGCUUAGGAUGUUGAACUCUAUCACACACAG
rnacentral:rRNA from 1 species